rnacentral:rRNA from 1 species
UACGUAGGGUGCAAGCGUUGUCCGGAAUUAUUGGGCGUAAAGAGCUCGUAGGCGGCUUGUCGCGUCUGCUGUGAAAUCCCGAGGCUCAACCUCGGGUCUGCAGUGGGUACGGGCAGGCUAGAGUGCGGUAGGGGAGAUUGGAAUUCCUGGUGUAGCGGUGGAAUGCGCAGAUAUCGGGAGGAACACCGGUGGCGAAGGCGGUUCUCUGGGCCUUACCUGACGCUGAGGAGCGAAAGCGUGGGGAGCAAACAGG